CUCGGUGUAGCGCAGCCCGGCAAGCGCGUGUGCUUCGGAAGCACGAGGUCGUAGGUUCGAGUCCUACCACCGAGACCA
rnacentral:tRNA from 1 species